rnacentral:rRNA from 1 species
AGAGUUUGAUCCUGGCUCAGGAUGAACGCUAGCUACAGGCUUAACACAUGCAAGUCGAGGGGCAGCGGGGAGGAAGCUUGCUUUCUCUGCCGGCGACCGGCGCACGGGUGAGUAACGCGUAUCGAACCUGCCUCAUACUCGGGAAUAGCCUUGCGAAAGUAAGAUUAAUGCCCGAUGUUUUCAGCGGUCCGCAUGAACUGCUGAACAAAGAUUUAUCGGUAUGAGAUGGCGAUGCGUCCCAUUAGCUUGUUGGCGGGGUAACAGCCCACCAAGGCAUCGAUGGGUAGGGGUUCUGAGAGGAAGGUCCCCCACAUUGGAACUGAGACACGGUCCAAACUCCUACGGGAGGCAGCAGUAGGGAAUCUUCCACAAUGGGCGAAAGCCUGAUGGAGCAACGCCGCGUGGGUGAAGAAGGUCUUCGGAUCGUAAAACCCUGUUGUUAGAGAAGAAAGUGCGUGAGAGUAACUGUUCACGUUUCGACGGUAUCUAACCAGAAAGCCACGGCUAACUACGUGCCAGCAGCCGCGGUAAUACGUAGGUGGCAAGCGUUAUCCGGAUUUAUUGGGCGUAAAGGGAACGCAGGCGGUCUUUUAAGUCUGAUGUGAAAGCCUUCGGCUUAACCGGAGUAGUGCAUUGGAAACUGGGAGACUUGAGUGCAGAAGAGGAGAGUGGAACUCCAUGUGUAGCGGUGAAAUGCGUAGAUAUAUGGAAGAACACCAGUGGCGAAAGCGGCUCUCUGGUCUGUAACUGACGCUGAGGUUCGAAAGCGUGGGUAGCAAACAGGAUUAGAUACCCUGGUAGUCCACGCCGUAAACGAUGAAUGCUAAGUGUUGGAGGGUUUCCGCCCUUCAGUGCUGCAGCUAACGCAAUAAGCAUUCCGCCUGGGGAGUACGACCGCAAGGUUGAAACUCAAAGGAAUUGACGGGGGCCCGCACAAGCGGAGGAACAUGUGGUUUAAUUCGAUGAUACGCGAGGAACCUUACCCGGGCUUGAACUGAGGGGGAAUGAAUCAGAGAUGAUUCAGUCUUCGGACUCCCUUGGAGGUGCUGCAUGGUUGUCGUCAGCUCGUGCCGUGAGGUGUCGGCUUAAGUGCCAUAACGAGCGCAACCCUCAUCCUCGUUUGCCAUCAGGUAAUGCUGGGCACUCCGGGGAUACUGCCAUCGUAAGAUGUGAGGAAGGUGGGGAUGACGUCA